GUGGAGCUAGAUGACUCGACUCCAUUUGAAUGCACACAAAGUAAACUGCACGCUUUAGUUGUGCAGCGAAAACGCUGAAAUUGGAGUAAUAAAACGUAAGAGGGGAACGAUAACGAAGACAAGACUCUCCCGAUCGUUUACUCUUGCUGCCCCGUGAGCACCAUCGGCGUGGUGUUAAUUGUUUGCCGUUUUCGCGAUCGCCUCCUGCAUGACAAUAUCACCAGAAGUGCAUUGAAUAUGCAGAUGAGAAAGCGACUUAAAGCGGGGUGAUCGGACACUUGCUUCAGACAUCUUCUGAAACAUCAGGAUCAUCAGGUCUACAGUGAAAUCAACAUCACUGUCAGUGAGACAUGUCAAUGUAUAUGUGUAUAUAUGUAUAUGUAUGUGUAUAUAUAUAUUGUGCUAUUUCUUACUUAGUGUAUUGUUCUGUCUUUGUUACUGUUUGUACUGGAGCACUGUAACCAAAAUAAUUUCUCCAAAGGGAUCAAUAAAGUAUUCGCAUUCUGAUUCUAAGUGAAACUAAUAAAUGUAAAAAAAAAAUGCAGAGAUGGAGGCCAAUUUAUUGAGACUAUACAAUACAAUACAACUUUAUUUAUAUAACAGAUUUAAAGAACCAGCGGUACACCAAAGUGCUUUACAAUAGAAACAGGAAAAUUAAGACAUGAUUAAAUAGGCUUGUUGGGGCCUGGAGCCUGGGGCUCGCUCGGCCACUUCGGGGGUGGGGUGCCCUCGGCCUGGGGCUCGGUCACUCUGGCACAGCUGGCUGCCGGCGAUCUGAUACCGUCGUGUUGGUGUUGUUCCCAGAUCACCAUAUUAAAUGUUGUUCCAGGAUCAACAUUGCAAGUGACCAAUCAGAAUGUUGUGACGUCAUACUUUUUGACAUCUAAAAUUAAGCUCUCUCUCUCUCUGGCUGUGAGCUGAAAAGGGAACAUAAGAACAGAUAUAGCUAAAAGAUAAAGUACACAGAUAAAAAAUUGAGCCCAAUAUAAAAUAGGGACACUAACCAGAUGGAAAGCUAGGUUAAAUAAGUAUUGUAUUGUAUCUUUAUUUAUUUCAGACAUAAUAAAACAAACAACCAAAAAACAAAAAAAAAAAACAAUAUAUACUCGUCUACAUGUACUUUCGUUUACGGAUACAAAUAUAUGUGUAGAUAUACACACACACACACACACACACACGUAUUUGUACAGACAAGCAAAAAAGAAAUAUAAUAAAAUAAAACACAUUCGUCUAACAUGAAAUAACAAUUGUUUGGUCUGAAAAGGAGUAGGAAGAAGUAUACACAUACUUAUUAACUCCUACCCCUGCUCAACAUCUUAUUAAUCCCACAUAUUUACCUAAUUCUCCUCAUCACAUAUUCUAUUUUCAUUUGUGUCGGGAAUGCACCAGUUUGUAUGGACAAAUUGCAGAUAUGUGUUAAGGGUUUAGAAAUGCCCUCUAUCACUUUUUUGACUAUUUCCAUAUCUAUAUCAUCAGAGUCUGUAGAGUUUUUUGUUUGUAAUUUCCCAACAAUAUCAAUGAUUUCCUUUUCUUCUACUGCCGUUAAGAACAUUGAAUGAGGAUUGCGAUCAAUGAAUCUGGUUUCUUUCUCUACCGAAUCUGUCAUAUCAGGAAUUGUUUCAGCCAAAUUUGGCCCAACACUUACAAAGAAUUUGUUGACGUCAUUUACCACAUCGCUCAGAUUAGUAAUAUUUCUAUCAUUAUUUGUGAAAUACGAAGGAUAGUCUGACUGUCCAGAGCCCUUUUUAAUAAUGGUAUUUAAUGUUUUCCAAAUCCCUUUAGUAUUAUUUUUAUUCAUAAUCAAUAAUUUCUCAUAGUAUUCCUUUUUACAUAACCUCAAAAUACUCGUUAAUUUGUUUUUAUAUUUCUUAUAUUUAUUUUCAGCUUCUAUACUUCGGUUCAUUAUAAAUUCUCUGUAUAAGGUAUUUUUCUUCUUACAUGCAUUUUGCAAUCCUUUUGUAAUCCAUGGGCAUUCUGCAUAUUUUUGUUUUUUACUGUAUUUCCUUACUGGGCAACGGCUAUUAUAUAACAUUUUAAAUUUUCCUAAAAAAAUCUCAUACGCUUUAUCAAUAUUUUUUUCCCUAUACAGCGUCUCCCAUUCUUGCUUGAGCAAAUCAUUUUUUAAAUGCAUUUAUUGACUCUUCUGUUCUCAUUCGUUUGUAUUUUACUAUAUUUUCCUGUGUAACCUUCCUAUAGUUUUUAUUAUACACUAUAAAAACAGGUAGGUGAUCACUGAUAUCAUUUAUUAAAAGACCACUUAUGGAUCUAUUUUCUAUUUCAUUUGUAAAUAUAUUGUCUAUUAAGGUUGCCGAUUGUGCUGUGAUCCUGCUGGGUUUAGUGAUCAUUGGACAAAGUCCCAAGCUAUACAUGUAUUAAUAAACUCCUCUGUCAUUUUCUGUUUGCUUGGAUUUAAUAAAUCUAUGUUAAAAUCCCC
ensembl:lncRNA